rnacentral:rRNA from 1 species
UAGAGAAUCUUGCACAAUGGGCGAAAGCCUGAUGCAGCCACGCCGCGUGAGGGAAGAAGGCUCUCGGGUCGUAAACCUCUUUCAGUCGCGAAGAAGCGCAAGUGACGGUAGCGACAGAAGAAGCCCCGGCUAACUAUGUGCCAGCAGCCGCGGUAAUACAUAGGGGGCGAGCGUUGUCCGGAAUCAUUGGGCGUAAAGCGCGUGUAGGCGGCCCUGUAAGUCGAAUGUGAAAUCUCCGGGCUCAACCCGGAAACUGCAUUCGAUACUGCAGGGCUUGAGGUAGGUAGAGGAGAGUGGAAUUCAUGGUGUAGCGGUGGAAUGCGCAGAUAUCAUGAGGAACACCAGUAGCGAAGGCGGCUCUCUGGGCCUCACCUGACGCUGAGACGCGAAAGCAUGGGUAGCAAACAGGAUUAGAUACCCCCGUAGUCC